rnacentral:rRNA from 1 species
GUCUACGACCAACUCACCCAGAAUGUGCCCGAUCUCGUUAGAUCCUGUAAGCUAAUCAGGUUUGAGCCUGGAUAGUGCAAGGAUGGGUGACCACCAUGCAGAUAAGCCAGGUAUAAUAGCGG